rnacentral:rRNA from 1 species
UAGCCGUAAACGAUACUCGCUAGGUGUCGGCCACGGUGCGACCGUUGUCGGUGCCGUAGGGAAGCCGUGAAGCGAGCCACCUGGGAAGUACGGCCGCAAGGCUGAAACUUAAAGGAAUUGGCGGGGGAGGCACCACAACGGGUGGAGCUUGCGGUUUAAUUGGACUCAACGCCGGGAAGCUCACCGGAUAAGACAGCGGAAUGAUUGCCGGGCUGAAGACUUUGCCGGAUUAGCUGAGAGGUGGUGCAUGGCGUAGUCGUGU